ensembl:lncRNA
CUGGAGGGCUGCAGUACCCAAAGCUGCUUCUUGGCCUCUGGUACCUGUAACAGGUCCCUUGACGGAGACAAGGAGUCACAGCAGAGGAGAGCAGUGUCAGGAUCCUUGUGCUCCAGCCACCAGCUCCAGGCCAGUGAGCUGUGACUUGGUACUGCUUGCGCAGGGCUGUGCCCUCCCUUUGGCCAUGAGGUUCCUUCUGGAUCAGCUGCCUGGACCAGUCCUGACUAUGCUCGUCUGAGAAAUAUUCUGGUCCAGGGGGGCUGGCCCCACGCAGAGGGUGUCUCCGGGCUCAGGACCACCGGUGCGGCGGGAGCAGAGCCGUCCUCCUGGGCAGCGGAGCCGCUGUGUCCAACUCCCACUGGCUGAGCAGCGUGCUUCUUACAGAGCAAUUAAUGGCUGCGUGAUUAGAGACAACUAUUGCUCAGAGGAAGACAAGCUUCGAAAGGUCAUGGUUGCUGUGUUUACUCCCAGGAGGUCUGCGAUGCCACUGUGGAGUGAGGGAUGGGGAACAUCACGUCCCCGCCUGUGUGGGGAUGGCUCCUGCAGCCUGUGUGCCCCUCCUCAGCCAGCCCUGCCUCUCCCUCCAGCCUGGUGCCGGGCUGACCUGAGCGUGAGGGGAGCUUUGUUCUUCCCGUAGUUUGGCCGUUCAGUAGGUGCCCGCAGUGGCUGGGGCUCCUGCUGGUGCUGCGGCCACCCCGGGGAGCCAGGCACGCAGCUGCUGCUGGCGCCGUGUGCGAGCGCGCCCGCGCGCAGCGGGGGUAUUAGACUUGACUUUAGUGUUCCUGUAAGCCAGGAGGAGUGACUGACAUGGUGAAAAUGCCUCUGCUCAGCGUGAGCCUUUGUAGUGCUGCAGCACGGGGAUAAAGUGUUCAAAUGCACUCCCUGGGGGAGCCUUCACCCAUCUGACACGAGCCAGAGCCAUCGGCAGAGACUCCUCACCUGCAGCUGGAUGCCUGCCCUCCUCUGCUCCCCAGCACUCCAGAGCGGUGCCAGGUGAAAGCAGAUGAAAGAUUGCUUCUCAUUUGGUAACAAAUAACUUCCAAGCCCAUCCAAGAGACUUUCAACUUAGCUGCUCUCUUUGCUCCUUUCAUGUCAUCUUUGUGUAGCGGGUGCACUAAUGCAAGCUCCAAAUAAGCAUCUGUACUCGUAAGACAUGAACAAACAGGGAAAGGAUAAUAAUAUCCAAGGGUUUUACAGGAGAGGUUAAAAAGGAGCCAGACUACAGAGACGGCUGAAUAGUGGUUUGCUUGACUGAUGUUACAAAGGCGAAAGACACAAAAAUCCUUGGAAAAUGCCUCUGAGCAGUGAUUGCUUUCUCAGAAAGCUUUGCAAUUAGGCAUGAAAGGAAUCCUUCCAAGCUUCUAAGAUGCAUUAAAGAUGCUAUUAUGAAAUAAUUAAGGAACGUGGAAUAACUAGAGAUCUGUUCCGUGCCCCAUCUCCCCCGUCUCUUGAGGUCCUUACGCAGAAGGCAGUGUAGCAGCUCUGAGCAGCACUACUCAGACCCUUUGGAUGGCCCUAGCCUUCCAGUGCCCUGCGUGCUGCCAGCUGUCUGCAUUGCAUGCUGGCCUGCCUAACCUGGGCAGGAAAGGUGCAGUGAGCCGUGUGUGUUUGCUCAGGAUGAUGCUGUACCAGCUGGA